AGGAGAAACCGUUAGAGAGAGGCGAUUUUUGAUGGAGAAAGCUUUUCAGGUUUAAAUUUGAUUUUGGUUACUGUUUUUCGCUUAUUAUGAUCGUAAACACCAAUCGGUCAGAUCUUUGUUCCUGAAGAAGAAAUUACUUAUAGUUGAAAAUGAUAUUUGUAAUCAUCUUCCCUAUUCCUGAAGAUGAAAUCCAAUGACUCACUGAAAAUUGAUGAGAGAGAGAUGGUCAUUGUUGUUGAUGACGACGAUAGAGAAUAUGAAGGAGAUUUAAUAAUGGCAUCAGAUUAACAAAUCCUAGAGCUAUGACGGUUAUUAUAAAGCAUGGAACUGGAAUUUUGUGUGUCAGCAUGCAAAGAGAAGACUUGGAUAGGUUACAACUUCUUUUAAUGGUUCAUAAUAAGGAGAAAGAGGAGAAACUUCGUACAACAUUCACAAUAAUAGAGGUUAUCUGCUAAAUUUACCUAUGCAAAUAUGGAUGUUAUCCAACUGGAGAUUGGCUUGGUAUUUUUCUCAGUCUGUGCGAUUAGGGUGGCAGUUUGGAUAUCAUGGAUUUUUUGGAUCUUUGCAGUGGUGUACAUUAUUGUACACACCAAUGUAAAUUAAAAAAAUUUAAAAAUGAAAAUUAUAUAGUCAUAUGGGUACUCCUUUUGUAACUCUCGAAAAAUGCUUUCCAAAUAUAUAAAGUUUGUCGAUUUUGGACGAGCAGUUCAAAAGAUAAAUUGUUUUUAA